CUACGGGUCGCUCCAGUGGGGAAUAUUGCGCAAUGGGCGAAAGCCUGACGCAGCGACGUCGCGUGAGGGAAGAAGGCUUUCGGGUCGUAAACCUCUGUCAGGAGGGAAGAACCCCUUAGACUCGAAUAGGGUUUAAGGCUGACGGUACCUCCAGAGGAAGCACCGGCGUAAUUCAGUGCCAGCAGCCGCGGUAAUACUGAAGGUGGGGGCGUUAAUCGGAAUCACUGGGCGUAAAGCGUACGUAGGCGGCGCGUUAAGUCAGACGUGAAAGCCCUCGGCUCAACCGAGGAAUUGCGUUUGAUACUGUCGUGCUUGAGUCCCGGAGAGGUUGGCGGAAUUCCAGGUGUAGGAGUGAAAUCCGUAGAUAUCUGGAGGAACACCAGUGGCGAAGGCGGCCAACUGGACGGGUACUGACGCUGAGGUACGAAAGCGUGGGGAGCAAACAGGAUUAGAUACCCUCGUAGUC
rnacentral:rRNA from 1 species